AGAAAAUCUUCAUAUGAUCUAUGUAGAAGAGAAAUGCUCCUGCCAGUGUAAAGUGGCACUUAAAGUUCCUUUUGUAGUGCCUUCAGACUGGCACCCCGAGCCCAGCGUCCCCAUAAGCCCAGUAUCCCAGGUGGUCACCUGGGUCACCUGCCCCUAAAUCCAGCCCUGCCCACAGCCCAGCUGAAGUGUUUGAGGUGGGGGCUGGAGAAGAGAUGUAUCCUUGUGAGCAAGAACAUCUUACUCGGCCAUAGGAAUCUCUUGUGCUGGCCUGACAUCUGGUGGCCGAGAUAGUCAUAGCAACACUCAGUUUCUACUCUUGAAGCUUUCUACUUGGAAGUUUGGCAGAUGUGAGGUAUGGUAUUAAUAUAUGGAGAUAUACCUAUCUCAUAGAACUGGAAGGGACCCCGAAAGGUAAUCGAGUCCA